GCAAGUCGAACGAGAACGGGUUAUAGCUUGCUAUAACUGUCAGCUAAGUGGCGCACGGGUGAGUAAUAUAUAGUUAACCUGCCCUAGAGAAGGGGAUAACGUUUGGAAACGGACGCUAAUACCCUAUAUGCCUUUAAGACAAAAGUCUGCAAGGGAAAUAUUUAUAGCUCUAGGAUGGGACUGUACGGUAUCAGAUAGUUGGUGAGGUAAUGGCUCACCAAGUCGACGAUCCAUACCUGGUUUGAGAGGAUGAUC
rnacentral:rRNA from 1 species